rnacentral:lncRNA from 1 species
GACAGCAUUACCGAUUCCAUUGCAUUUUCAUCUUUGUCAAUCUUCAUCAUGAUUUUUCGACGAUUUUCCUCCCUUCGUACCUCUGCAAAAACCUCUCGUGUAGUUGGUAGUGGUCGCCGACUCGAGAUUCGCCCCCUAACAUCAUCCAAAUCGCGGUUGAGGCCAACCAGAAAUUCAAAGACCCGUUCAUUUUCAAACCUUUUUCUCGUAUCGUGCGUUGUCGCCAAGGGAUUCCCAUUCCUUAUCGAGACUAAGGUCAAGUUCUUUACACAGGUUCAUCAUCUCCAAAUAGGAGUCAGUAACUUCUCUUUCCCCUUGCUUGGUUUUCCAUAACUGGGUCUUUAAUUCUGAAAUUAGUGAGGUGUUUUCUCCAUUUGAUUAUGCCUCUUUCACUACGUCCCAGACUUCUUUCACUGUCGGCAAAAAUAGGUAGAUUUUACCUAUUGACG